UACAGAGGGUGCGAGCGUUGUCCGGAAUCACUGGGCGUAAAGGGCGCGUAGGUGGUGACCUAAGCGUGCGGUGAAAGCCCGAGGCUCAACCUCGGGUCGGCCGUGCGAACUGGGUCACUGGAGCAGAAUAGAGGCAGGUGGAAUUCCGGGUGUAGCGGUGGAAUGCGUAGAGAAUCCGGAAGAACACCGGUGGCGAAGGCGGUCUGCUGGGGUAAUGCUGACACUGAUGCGCGACAGCGUGGGGAGCAAACAGG
rnacentral:rRNA from 1 species